GCCAAGUGGUACAUGCAGUUUGAUGA
rnacentral:piRNA from 1 species